UGAACAACUGUAGAAGUAAGAAAUACAAAAACUCAGCAAGAUCCAAAAAAAUUCAGAUCUCUUCUGACCAUCUAAGACUUGUGACUUGAUAUCCUUUUGGCAUAGCUAGUGUGAUGACACAUGUAGGCAAAAUAUACGUAAAGUUAAAAUCUGUUAAAAAAACGUAAUAUCGGCUGGCGCCACACAGCCUCACAGCCAUAAAAAUAUGACGCGUGCCGAACAUUGGUAAACCACUGACCACCCUUCCGAGUUGCUAAUGUGCAACAAACGGUUCGUAAUUGCAGUAUUGCACAUUACGAACCGUAAGCAAUUUAAGUCAAAAUGUCUAAGCAAUUUAAGUCAAAAUGUCUUUUAGCCAACCCUUUACAUGAUGAUUUUUCCCUACAAAUACUCUGGUGAGUCCAGGGUUUGGUAUGAUUCGGUUUUCUAUCUUGUAGACGAAAGUCUUAAGUUUAGCUUCGGUUUAAGCUUAUUGUUUCUGUAUAUACUUGUGUUAAAUUCGUGAAAUAAAGUGAAAGUAUUAAUUAUUCAGUUCGUCAAUCAUUUAAUUGAAAAGGUCCAUAAGACCCAUUACAAUUUGGCGCCCAACGAAAAAGAGCUUUGAAAGCUUUCGCGAAUCAAUUGAAUUUUCGUGAUUUUAAAUUAAAAAUCGUUUUUCUCAAAACGUAAUUGAAUACUUGAUUUUUUUUGGCAAAUUAUUUGAAUUUUCGUGAUUUUUAGUAAAGUUUCAAUUGAAUUUUUCUUCUCAUAUCUACCGAAUUCGAAUUCGUGAAUUUUUUUUUCCUGUCAUAAACGUAAUUGAAUACUGGAAUUUUUUUUUAAAUCAAAGUUGUGAAUUUUUUAUCGGAGAUUUUUUUGGUGAAUCUCAACGAAUUUUUACGAAUUUUAACGAAUUUUUGUGAAGUUUCUUGUGUCCGAAUCUGUAAAAUCAAAAAACGUGAAUUUUUUAAAUCAAAUUUCAACAAAUUUUCGCGAAUUCCAACAAAUUUUUGUGAAGUUGUUUGUGUCCGAAUCUGUAAAAUUAAAAAACGUGAAUUUUUUCAUCGGAGAUUUUUUUGUGAAUUUCAACAAAUUUUCCCGAAUUUCAACGAAUUUUCCCGAAUUUCAACGAAUUUUCCCGAAUUUCAACGAAUUUUCCUGAAGUUUUUCGUGUCCGAAUCUGUGAAGAAGUUCUUCUUGAAGGUCAACAGACGAUUACUUCCUGGAAAGUGGUUUUCAAGUCAAUUUUUCAAUUCAAUUUUCAAGAUGAUUCCUUACAAUGAACCUGAACCGUUAAGUCAAGCCACCAAAGCUCAAAUAAUGAGACUGGUCAAUCAUUACGUACAUAGAGAAAAACAGACCAUUAUUUUCUACGAUGACCAUGAUACAUGGGAUCUUGCGCACCCAGACGUUGCAGGGUACCAUGUACCCUUCUUUAAUGUGACCUGGGAUGAAAUUGACGAUGUUCAAAGGACAAUGAACAAACUUUUCUAUUAUUUAGGCAUUGAAGCCUAUGUAUUUUUCAUAACUGUGCCAAAUAAAAUUUUCGUUUUCGAUGUAAUAAUUUCAAACGAACGAAUUCUGCCCGAAUUAUUAUUGAAACCUGGGCAAUGAAACCAAAAAUGGAAAAAUGAAAAAUUCUACUUUUUUUGCUAUGUUAUUUUUUCAAUAUUUUUAUGCUAGUUUUUUAUUAUAUCAAGCAUGUACAUAGGUAGCUUUUAAUUAUAAGUAGGGCAACCCAAAAUAUGCUCUCAUUCAAGGUAAAGUACCUAUUGAAUAGGAAUUAUAUUCGAUUUUUCUUUGGAAUGAAACAUUUCCAAAAUAUUCAUAUACCCUACUUGAAAAUUUAAAUACAAAUGGGUAUCGUUUUCACUCGUUUUGAUGAGCACAAUUCAUAAUCAUUAAUUUUAAAUUCGUCAUUCCAUCAAUCAGCAAAUCAUAAUCAUCAAAAAACGACUGUGAACAUGACAUUUGCGAUCUUCCGAUCCUAAAACUGCUCAAAAUAUUCAAUAAAUUGUGAAAUAUGACGAUUUUCAGCAGAAAAUAUUCAGAAAUCUUUAAAUUGAGCUCAUUACAAAAAAAAACAUUCAAAAAAUAUAUUGGGUUGUCCCCAUGAAUAACAAACAGUAGUUUUUCUUAUUGUAUAAUUUAUUCUAUAAAAAUACGUAUAAAAAACAAAAAAAAAACAAUUAGUUUAAAUACAUACAUAUCUAAUAACUGUACAAAAAUUAAUAUUUUUCUUUUUUUUUACAGGUUAAUUAAAAUUACUUUUUACAAUUUUUUUUUCUCACUCUUUCUUCGGACUUGCUUGAUAUCAACUUAAACGUUUGAACGGUGCCUCUGAAAAUUACAAAAACAAAUACCUCAAUAAAAAUAAAACAAAACAAAAAAUCGUGAUUGAAAAAAAUAAAUAAAUCAAAUAAACAAAUAAAAGAACCUUUUUUUGGAAAAAACAAAUGACAAAAAAAAAAAAACCAUAAAAACUUCGAAAACAAAAUUCUAAAUUUAAAAAAAAAAAAAAAAAAAAAAAAAAAAAGGAAAAUAAAUACCAAUGGUGACGUUUCCAGUGAUCUCGUAGGUAACCAUAAGUAACAUUCAUCAUAGGAUGGCCCAAAUCUAAUGAUAUUUCUUUUGAGAUCCACAUAGUUUUGAUAAGUAAAGGGAAAUAAUAUCUUAAACUGCGGAUGGACCUGAAUUACAUUAAUAUUCACCAUACCUCCUUCGAACCGAACUUUUAUUGUUUCCAUUAAGUCCUUCUGAAAAUACAAAAAAAAAAAAAAAUGUUACAAAAAAGUGUCAAAAAUAUGAUUUUUUUUAGACAAAAAAAUGAUGAAAUUUUUUUUUCCCAACUUACAUGAAUAGACCAAAAGUGGCUAUUAUAAAACCAGCACCGUGUAGACAUACAUGGGCUGUUAAAGCCUAAUUCGUAAUCAACACACAUGGCCCUAGGGUCAUUAUGUGUUAAGAAUCCCUUCGUAACACCAUCAGCUUUCAAGUAUGAAUGUCGUAGUGGAAAUCUGAAUUGAUCAACAGUUCUAUUUGACCUAGGAACCUGAAAAUUUUGAAAUAAAAAUUAAUAAAUAAAGCUAAUCAAAACACAAAAAAAUACGUAAAUUUUGAUUUUUUGCCAAACUUUAAGGAAAUAAUUUGAAUUUUGAACUUGAAAUUUUCAACAAAAAAAAAGUUUAAAAAUAAUAAUAGGAAGUAUUCUAAUUCGAAAAUUUGAAUUACUUUUUGAAAAUUCUAUUAAUUAUUUGUACCUCAACAAAAUGAUGUCCAGUUGCCUGUGGUUCAGCAAUCUGAGGCUCUGGUACUAAAUUUAUGCUAGAUGGUCCCGCCUGGGGCUCCAUCUGCGGCUCCAUCUGGGGCUCCACGGUGGAAUUUUUUGGCAUUUCCAAUUCGAGGAUCAUAGCAUUUAAACUUGUCUACAAACAAAACCAAAAAAAAAAAAGUAAAGGUAUCAAAACUCAAAAAUCAAAAAAAAAAAAAUGUGAAUUAUUCUUUAAAAAUUUUUUUUUUAAAUCAACAAAAAACAUACCUCAUUUGGUUGUUCAGCAUUUGUCAUCUCCUGGAUGAAGUCUACAGGCUGAAAUUCCUCACUUUCAAAAUCUAUUUCAUUCAAACCUAAAAAUUGAGAAAUUCCAUAAUUAUUUAUUUAACACGAAAACCCUUAAAAUUAUAAUCAAAAUUUAUUCCCCCCUACAAUUUUUUGAAAAAAAAUACACCAAUUUAAUGAUAAAAAUAGAAUCAAAAAUUCACUUACCAGCAAGAAAGUCAUUGUUCUGAGAAUCCAUUGUAACUCAAAUUAAUUAAAAAGGAAUAAAAUAAGAAAAUAAAAUAAAAAAAAUAUAUCAACUUUUCACAAAAAUUUUACACACAAAACUGAUAAAAAUCAAGAUUUUUUUUCUGGUUCACAAUACACCUUUGAACACCUCAAACAAGCAAGCAUAAGAAGUACGUACUGUACAUUGACAAACCUCCAGAUAUGGAAACAAAUCUUAUCUUUUAGCAAAAUUCCAUAUCUUUUCUACCUUCUCCAGUUAUCCAGUUACAUUGUUUUGGAAAAACCUCACGCACCAUAAUACAUACAAGGUGUAGGCAAAUACUUUGUUAUCUUUCUCUGGCAUAGCAUGGAAACACAACAUCUUGGUAAAAUUACUUAUACAUGGUAGAACAAAUUAAUUAAUUCAAUUUUUUUUCAGAUGGUACAAAUUUUUGAAAUCUCAAAUAUUGCAAAAAAAAGUGUGACAGCAUUCGUUGACAUUUUUAUACAUGACAGAAACACAUUUCCAAUUGUAUAUUGCGGAAGUAGAUUCCGCUGGGAUGAGUCGAAAGUAACCAUAGCGCCUAUUGGCCCAAUUCGGAUUUCAGUGAAUGAUCCGAUCGAAACCGUCAUCAAAUUAAUUAAAAAGAUGCUGUCAAUUCUAGACUACAAUGUAUACGUUUAUUACGAUGAAUUGCCAUACGCUUUAAAUAUGUAUGACAUAAUAAUUUCUAGAACAGAGAUCAACAUAAACGAUUUGAGAGCUGAUUAAUUUUUUUUUGAUAUCUCCAAAUUUUUUUUUUCAAGUCUUUGAAAUAUUAAUUUUUUUUCAAUUUUUUGUAUGUAAGUAUUUUUAACCCCCCCCCCCCACAUAUGACUUAAUGAUAUUUUGAAAAUCUCCCCCCUCAGGAUGCUGACCUUUUUGUAAAUACCCCCCCCCCCCCACAUUUUUGUUCUUUCCAAUUAUUUUUAUUUUCUUUCCAAACUUUUGUUUUUGAAUUUUUUUUGCUGCUUAAAAACUUUUUAAUAUUCUUUACUUAACAAUUUUUUUUUCUGUCUUUUCUUUCAAUUUCCAGAAUGUUGACAUUUUUGGUAUUCUACUCUCUUUUCAAAAUUUCUUCUACUGAAAACCUAUUCACUGAAAUUAUUCCUGGAUCCUUUAUAUCUGAAAUUGAAAAUAUAGUUGUCUAUGAAAAAUCCAUUCCCUAUAAAUUUAUCUUAAAUUAUACUUUUCCGAAUAGUAAUCCUACUAAUUCUUCCUAUGAAUAUCCGCCCAAUACCAAUUGUGAAAUGAAAGAUGAAUGCACCUAUACUCAUGAUUUCUACAAAGCACUGACAAGAUUGGAUUCCUUCAUUGAUAAUCAACUUCAACAAACUCGUUUUGAUGCAAAAAUAUUAAAUGAACAUUCAAGAAGAAAAAGAUCAUUUCUACUAGGAAAACUUUAUGGUAAUUUCCUAGAAUUUUGUUGUGAUGUAGUCACUAAAGAUGAUCUCUACCCAUUAUUUGUCAACCAGCAAGAAUUAACAGCCAAUUAUAAAAAUUUAAAAGAAGCCUUAAUUGAAACACAUGCAGAUAUUUUCAAUAUUUCCACAGAACUUAAAUCAUUCUCUAAACUAAUUCAUGCAAAUAUUGAAAUGAUAACUCAAACAAUAGACACACUCUCUACCACUUUGGAAAAAUUUGCAGACCUUUUUGCAGCAGAUAGAUCCACAUAUCCAGUACUAAUAUCAAUUCUAGAGAAAACAUUCUAUAAUUCGUUUUUCUCAUCCAUUAUUGAACAUUGUAAAGAGCACAAGCUUCCAUCUUCAAUUAUCUCUCCAGAAAGCUUGAAAUAUUACAUUGAAGUUUUGAAAACCAAUAUUGAAAAAUUUAAUUACACCAUAGCCAUACCUACUUCAGAAAUUUUGGAAUACUAUACCAGAAGUAUCACACAUUGUCAAAUUUCAGAACAGCAGAUUUUAUUAGAAAUUCGAGUGCCUUUGAAAAAAAUUAAUUCAGACUGGAAAUUAUUCAAAUAUACUCCAAUCUACUUCAGAAAUAAAGAAGAGCUCUGUAUUCUGAACACUGAGCAAAUGCUAAUUGCUUUUGAUUCUGGAAAACAAAUUAUCAGAGAAAUUACAGGAACAGCAUUAAAAAAAUGUGAUCUUUCAAGACAGUUAUGUUUUUUGGACUAUUUUGAUUCCACCUAUGAAUCACCAGAAUGUGCAAAAUCAUUAAUCCUUGGAAAACAACUUCAAGAAUUAAAUACAGUGUGCAAUUUUAAAUGCGAGCACAUGCAUUCAAAAACAAUAAUUAGAAAAAUUCAAGAAAAUAUUUACAUCAUUUCCAAUCCUCAAAAAUUUCUUUUCCUUCACAACUCUUCAAAAUCAGAUACUAUUCCUUUAGAGAUAAAUUAUAAUCAAUCUGGUGCAAUAAAAAUUCAACUCCCUUGUGAUUUUGAAUUACUUUUAAAAACUGAUGAGGAAACCCAAAUUCUGAUCCCACAAGGAUUUCCUUGCAUAAAAACUUCUGAAAAUACCUUACAUCUAAACAGACUACUUCCCUUGCAAUGGACUAAAUUAGAUAAUAGCAAAAUAGAUUUUCACCCCUUUAGUCCCUUAAAAUUUAAAAAUAUUACAAAAAUUUUUAAUGAAAAUUGGAAGGAACAAACCCCCUCUUUUAAUAUUAAAGAAAACCCCCAAAUAUUUGAAAACAAAUUAAGAGAUAUAAUUUUAAAUGAUAUUCAGACUCCCUUGUAUGGAGGACAUACUAUUAGCAGUAUUAUUUUUACAAUAUGGUUAAUUGUUUUAAGUGUAUUAAUUUUAAAAAAAUAUUGUUAAAAUAAUUUUACUUAUCUUUUUAGAAAAAAUUUUAUGUAUAAAUAACAAAAAAAAAGAGAAAAAAAUGCAUAAAACAAAAAAAAAAUGAAAAAAAAAAGAAAGAAAAAAAAAGAGAAAAAAAAAAAAAAAAAAGAUGUGUAUUUUUUUAAAUACUCAUUUUUUUUCAAAAAUCUCUACUCAUAAUACCUCAUAUUUACAUUCCAUUGAUAUUUUUUUUAGAUUUUUUGUAAUUAGAUUUUUUAUAUUUAGAUUUUUUAUGUUUAGAUUUCUUAUAAUUCGAUUUAUUAUAAUUUGAUUUUUUAUAAUACCAUUUUUCAUAAUACCAUUUUUUAUAAUAACAUUUUCUAUGUAUAAUUAUAUUUUUAUACUAACCAACAAAAAAAAAAAUUUUUGUUUUUGAGAUGUAUACCUCUAGUACUUGUAUAUUAUAAAUUUAGAGAAAAAACAAAAAGCAAACAGACUCUGGACUCAUAAUCAAGUAUCUUGUCCCAUUUUUAAUUUUUUUUUUUGGGAAAAUAUAUUUAUUUAUUAAUAUUUUUUUUUUGGGUAAAAGACAAAAUUGAAAAAAUGAUAAUAAACCGAAUGGAAACUUUCUAAAAUUGAAAAUUACCCCCCCCCUUGUCCCCUUUCACAAUCUAUUCCAUAGUCAAAUUUUUUUUUCAAGUGUGGCAAAUUUUGGGAAAUUAAAUUUCUUUUUGAAUUUUGGGAAAAGUGUGGUCACUUUUUUGGGAGAAAGGAAAUAUUGUGAUGACACAUGUAGGCAAAAUAUACGUAAAGUUAAAAUCUGUUAAAAAAACGUAAUAUCGGCUGGCGCCACACAGCCUCACAGCCAUAAAAAUAUGACGCGUGCCGAACAUUGGUAAACCACUGACCACCCUUCCGAGUUGCUAAUGUGCAACAAAUGGUUCGUAAUUGCAGUAUUGCACAUUACGAACCGUAAGCAAUUUAAGUCAAAAUGUCUAAGCAAUUUAAGUCAAAAUGUCUUUUAGCCAACCCUUUACAUGAUGAUUUUUCCCUACAAAUACUCUGGUGAGUCCAGGGUUUGGUAUGAUUCGGUUUUCUAUCUUGUAGACGAAAGUCUUAAGUUUAGCUUCGGUUUAAGCUUAUUGUUUCUGUAUAUACUUGUGUUAAAUUCGUGAAAUAAAGUGAAAGUAUUAAUUAUUCA